rnacentral:rRNA from 1 species
GACGUAGGAGGCGAGCGUUAUCCGGAUUCACUGGGCGUAAAGCGCAUGUAGGCGGUUCGAUAAGUCCGCUGUUAAAGCCCCCGGCUCAACUGGGGGAGGUCAGUGGAGACUAUAGGACUUGAGGGCAACAGAGGCACGUGGAACUCCCGGUGUAGCGGUGGAAUGCGUAGAGAUCGGGAAGAACACCAGUGGCGAAGGCGACGUGCUGGGUUGCGACUGACGCUGAGAUGCGAAAGUGUGGGGAGCAAAC